rnacentral:rRNA from 1 species
UACGUAGGGUGCGAGCGUUGUCCGGAAUUAUUGGGCGUAAAGGGCUCGUAGGCGGUUUGUCGCGUCGGGAGUGAAAUCCACUGGCUUAACUGGUGGCUUGCUUUCGAUACGGGCAGACUGGAGGUAUGCAGGGGAGAACGGAAUUCCUGGUGUAGCGGUGAAAUGCGCAGAUAUCAGGAGGAACACCGGUGGCGAAGGCGGUUCUCUGGGCCUUACCUGACGCUGGAGGAGCGAAAGCGUGGGGAGCGAACAGG